rnacentral:rRNA from 1 species
UACGGGGGGAGCAAGCGUUGUUCGGAUUUACUGGGCGUAAAGGGCGCGUAGGCGGCCAGCACAAGUCAGUUGCGAAAUCUCCGAGCUUAACUCGGAAAGGUCAACUGAUACUGUGCGGCUAGAGUGCAGAAGGGGCAACUGGAAUUCUCGGUGUAGCGGUGAAAUGCGUAGAUAUCGAGAGGAACACCUGCGGCGAAGGCGGGUUGCUGGGCUGACACUGACGCUGAGGCGCGAAAGCUAGGGGAGCGAACGGG